UACGUAGGGUGCGAGCGUUGUCCGGAAUUACUGGGCGUAAAGAGCUCGUAGGUGGUUUGUCGCGUUGUCCGUGAAAACUCACAGCUCAACUGUGGGCGUGCGGGCGAUACGGGGCAGACUGGAGUACUGCAGGGGAGACUGGAAUUCCUGGUGUAGCGGUGGAAUGCGCAGAUAUCAGGAGGAACACCGGUGGCGAAGGCGGGUCUCUGGGCAGUAACUGACGCUGGAGGAGCGAAAAGCGUGGGGAGCGAACAGG
rnacentral:rRNA from 1 species